AUCCGGGUUGCGGACAGUGUCUGGUGGGUAGUUUGACUGGGGCGGUCUCCUCCUAAAGAGUAACGGAGGAGCACGAAGGUUGGCUAAUCCUGGUCGGACAUCAGGAGGUUAGUGCAAUGGCAUAAGCCAGCUUGACUGCGAGCGUGACGGCGCGAGCAGGUGCGAAAGCAGGUCAUAGUGAUCCGGUGGUUCUGAAUGGAAGGGCCAUCGCUCAACGGAUAAAAGGUACUCCGGGGAUAACAGGCUGAUACCGCCCAAGAGUUCAUAUCGACGGCGGUGUUUGGCACCUCGAUGUCGGCUCAUCACAUCCUGGGGCUGAAGUAGGUCCCAAGGGUAUGGCUGUUCGCCAUUUAAAGUGGUACGCGAGCUGGGUUUAGAACGUCGUGAGACAGUUCGGUCCCUAUCUGCCGUGGGCGCUGGAGAACUGAGGGGGGCUGCUCCUAGUACGAGAGGACCGGAGUGGACGCAUCACUGGUGUUCGGGUUGUCAUGCCAAUGGCACUGCCCGGUAGCUAAAUGCGGAAGAGAUAAGUGCUG
rnacentral:rRNA from 1 species